GUGCUUGCUUCUGCAGCACAUAUAGUAAAAUUGGAACAAUACAGAGAAGAUUAGCAUGGCCCGUGCACAAUAAUGACACACUAAGCAGUCAGUGAACAAUCAUACAG